GGAUAGAGGCCGGUUUAGAGAUGUUUUCCAGUGGCAUGAAUAGGAGGCAUAAAUCAGGUGUGAGUGUGAUGCCCAUCCCCAAUGCGUCUCAUAAUACGUCUCCCACCAUACGCCAAUAUCCCUCGAUCUUGGGACAAGUCCACCAACUGUGGUACAUCGUCCCCGUUUCCUGUAAACACCUCCAGCAGGAGCUGGUAGUGUUCGGGUAGAUUCGCGCCAGUCUGUCCGGUACCAUAUACCAGCGAUACUGGAUUUUUCUCAUCAGUUCUAGGUGUGACGCACAGCUUGUCUUUCCCUUGUGAGCUAACAUUGCUUUUUUCCAGCUUGUGACGUCAAAUGUUUGGUUUAAGCCAGUCAAGCAUAAAUUUUUUGUAGCUGCAUGCUGCCGGGACUGUCAGUACUCGGUAUAUAGAGGCUAGUAACUUGUUUGGCGUCAUAGGGGCUAGGAAUGCUUUUUCAAAAAAGGCCAUGGUCGGCGAGUGUGAAAAUGGGGGGUUAUGUGUGAGAAGCGCUUUUAGUUGGAGGUAUGAGGAACAACGCCCUCGUCGGUAGUUUGAAU